GGGCAUGUGGUGUAGUUGGUUAUCACGCUCGCUUAGCAUUGACAGAAUUUGUCACGAGUGCGAGAGGGGUCCGGUUCGAUCCCGGACAUGUCCA